GACAGAGGGUGCUAGCGUUGUUCGGAAUGACUGGGCGUAAAGGGCGCGUAGGCGGUUUUCAAGUCAGAUGUGAAAGCCCCGGGCUUAACCUGGGAACUGCAUUUGAUACUGGAAGACUGGAGUACGAGAGAGGAAAGCGGAAUUCCUAGUGUAGAGGUGAAAUUCGUAGAUAUUAGGAGGAACACCAGAGGCGAAGGCGCUUCUGGCUCGUAACUGACGCUGAGGCGCGAAAGCGUGGGAGCAAACAGG
rnacentral:rRNA from 1 species